AUGUGGCCAGCUGCUAGGGCAUAUAGGCCACAAGUUUUUAACUACCACAUGAAUAAAAUCCUAGCAGAAGCACCUGAUGUGCAUGAAUAUCUUUCAAGGUACCACAGCUUAAAAUGGAUGAGAUGCAUGUUUGACCCGUCCAUUAAAUGUGAUUACAUCAACAAUAACCUUGCUGAGUCUUUUAAUGGUUGGAUUAAAGAUUACAAAGAUUUGCCACCUGAUGAGCUAGUUGACACUCUUAGAGAGGUAGUCAUGAAACUUCAUGAGAAAAGGAGAAAGAUUGGAAUGAAACUGAAAGGAAAAAUUAUUCCAGCCAUCAUCCAAUAG
rnacentral:rRNA from 1 species